GUGCUUGCUUCGACAGCACUGGAACUAAAUUUGGAAAGAUACAGAGAAGACUAGCAUGGCCCCGGGGCAAGGACGACAUGCAAAUUCGUGAAGCAUUCCAUGUUUUU
ensembl:snRNA U6 U6 spliceosomal RNA